rnacentral:antisense_RNA from 1 species
GUUAAUGGCGGUUGUGCGUGGGAGACCUUUUGGUCUGCCGGGUUUUUGGUGGUGGUCCCGGUCUGCGAACCCGCGCACAACUGCCACCCAU